rnacentral:rRNA from 1 species
UAAGACGAGAAGACCCUAUAAAUUAAUAUAAUUUUUUUAUUUAAGGAAAUAAAUUUUAUUUUAAUGAUUAUAUUUUAUUGGGAGGAUAAUUAAAUAAAAUGAACUUUAAUUUAAAGAUAAUUUUAACAUUAAUUAAUGAAAUUUUUAUUGAAGAUUGAUUAUUAAAUUAGAAAGAAAAUUUAUAAUAAUUAUUAUAAAAAUUAAUUACCUUAGGGAUAACAGCGUAAUAUUUUUAGAAAGAUCAUAUUGAUAAGAGUGAUUGCGACCUCGAUGUUGGAUU